rnacentral:lncRNA from 1 species
GUUUAUGUUCUGUUGUUAUACGUUGACCUGUUAUUGAAUUAUAGAAUUGGAUUAUUGUUUUUAUAUAAACCUGUGGACCAGAUUCGUGGUACGCUUCAAGCUAAUUGGGACUUCAAACGAUAUCAAGGUGGGCCCAUAACCCACAGGUUGACGAUCCAAACGAUCGAAGAGAUGUUACAUGUCAUGCUAUGGACUUCAAAGGCAAUUGGGAUGAAAUAAUGUAAACUACUUGGGGCCAGACUUAUUACGAACCAUGAUAUCUUACAACGCUAUUACGAUUGAACGUCGAUCAAUUAUCGAGAAGGUUGAAAAGGAGAUAUACAACGAACGACGAUUUUUGAAGUAGAGCAGUAAUUUGAGAAGACCUUGGCAAUACCUCUCUUCAACUAAAGAUUCUUUUGAUUGUUUUCUCAUCAGUGAGAUAUUAUCAUGAUAUCUUUUCUAUAAAAGUUUUGAUAAAUGAGAUCUUCAAUUUCUCAAAUUCUAAGAUGACAUUGAUAUUGAUUAUUGGUAUGAGUUGGAAAGCAAAGAUGUGUGAUAAAGGUUUGUUGUGAAGAGAUAGUGAUGUUCCUUGAUAUUGUUUGACAUUUCUUGACAUUCCUUGAUACCCUUUCAUCUUCCUUGAUAUCCCUUGAUGUUCUUUGAUAUCUUUGAUAUUCCUUGACAUUCUUUGAUAUUCUUUGACAUUUAUUCAAAUUGAUUGGGAUGAACAACCCUAUUUAUAGGGGACACAAGGUAUACCUGUCUGUGUGAUAGGAGUUGGAUGGGACGCCAUCACUUGUGUGUGUUGUGAUUACAAGAAGGUUAACAACCUUUAGUAGUGUCUAAUAUGGACACGCAACACCAAGUUCGUUGAUCAUAUAGAUCUCUCAGUCACUCCUUUAUUCAAAUGUGAUCUACCUUGAAAACAUUUUGUUCUAUUCAAAAUUCCCAAAGAUUGAUUCUUGGGAAAUGAAUUCUGCAAUUGUGAAAGCUGAUUCUCCAAUUUCUUUAAAGCUAAAGGUAUGCCAAGGCCGAUCAAAGGUGAAUGAUGAUACGUUAUUACGAAGCGUAUAGUGGAAUCUUAUAAGUGAUACGUUUGAGUUCUUUUUGCGGAUUCCGAGGGCGGAAUCCUUAUAAGGGGGGUAGAAUGUAAUAUCUCAUAUUAUUAAAUUUAGAUUUGAUUAUUAUAAAUCUAUUUGUCUAGAUAUUGUUGUUGGCUUUAGUUGAAAAGUGAAUUGAUUAUGGGAAUAGUUCUAUAUGAUUAUACUUGUUCUGUGGAUUAAUAUGGAUUAUACUAUUUAUGCGUUCUCCUUCUUUCUCUGAUUCCGAGGACGGAAUCCCUAUAAGGAGGGUAGAUUGUAAUAACCCGGAUUUUUAAAAAUAUUUUUGUUAAUAUUAUAAAUGAUUUUCUUAAAAAGAAAGGAAUAAGAUUUAAUAUUUUAUUCCAGUUUAAUGAGUUUUCAAAGUUUUAUAUUUAAACCCCGGGUUAUUGUGUUAUUGAUAAAUAAUUGUAUUUUCAAAACUGAUUUUCAUAUAUUGUUUUGAAAAUUCUGUAUGAAUAUUAUGUGAAUAUAUGUGUGAUGUGAGUAAGUGGUAUUGGUGGAUUUGUUGGUUAAUUAAUUAUGGUUAAUUAUGAGUAUUAUAUGAUUAAUAUAUGAAUUUUUGUGAAUUUUAUAUUAUCUGGUUUAUUGCGUUAACUGCUCAUAUGUGUUCGUAUUUGAGAGAUUUCAAUUUCUAUAUGCUCAGGAGAAAAUAUAGUUUAUUUGGAUAUUUUCAUAUCGAUUUAUGGAAUGUUAGAUGAUUUUAUAAUCGAUUUACGGAUUUAAUUGUGUAUAUUUAUAUUUAUUUAUUGAUUAUUUGACUUCCGUAAAACCGUUCACUCGUAACGAGGUAGCAAAUUUUCUUCCCGGAAGUUUCGAGAAAACUCACCUUUAGCCUAAUUUGAAUAUUCCGGACAUUUUUCGUGUUUUGACUUUUUCGAUCCGGAGUACGGUUUUCCCCGUAGUCGGUCCGGCGGAGUUUUUCGGGUAUUUUAAUUGUUGAUAAUUAUCUGGUUGUCUCGAUAAACGUGAAACUAGAUAUUUUGAUUCAUCCUUAUCUUGUAAUAAUUGCAGUAGGGCCCGCAUACUAAUGACUGAUUAAAAAGCCCCGUUUUGAUGAUUAUCUUGAAAACCAGUACCGAUUGGACCCCGCUUUAUUACUAUAAAGCUAUUAAAUACGUAUGAUGACUGGAGUUGAUUGAUUGGUUGUUGAUUGAAAUAGGUUGACCGGAGGAUAGUCUAAUAAAUAGACGAGACGCUGUCAAGUUAUCGAUUGGAUUUAUAUGAUAAUUGAUUUGUGAUAUGUUAUGUGAAAGAUGACUUGACUAUAUGAUAGAGUCAAAGCAUGAUUAUGUGUUAAGUGAUAUCUGAUAGGUUUAAAGGGUUAUAUAAGUGGGUAUCGAUGUACGUGAGAUGUAUACGCGAUCGAUUGUUUAGUGAUUAUAGUGUUAUCUUAUUCUCGUAAAGGAUUUGGACGAGACGUGUAUGCCCGAAGACGUUCAGAAAGUCACGUGGUGUUACAAAGCGAAUAAGGGAUGAAUCGAGUAAGCGAAGCGAAGAUGUACGGUAGAUAGAGUAUAGCCAGAGAUGGUCUAGAGACUACGAGAGGCAUAGAUUGUGAAAGUGGAAAGAUGAGAUUGAGAUGUGAGACUGGAGUCAGAUUUAAGGCAAGUAUCCCAAACCUUUCUCUUGGAUAUAUUGCAAAUAUUCUGAUCCAUUCCUUUGAUAUAUGUUUCAAGUAUUCAUACCUUUCUUUUCAAUGUUCGAAAGUGCGAGUAUUCUGACCCAUUCUUUCUAAUCUUCAAGUUUCUAAAGAAUUUCCGUUUUACAAAUUAAUUCGAAGUUCAGAUUGUCAUUGAAGCAUGUGUUGCUCAGUGAUAGUUAGAGCUUUGAAUGAAUUGGGAUCUUCUUGAUUAUUCAACCCGCCAUUGUCAUGCUGGUUUAGCAGGCUAAAUUCAGUUGCUUAGCCGAUAAUGGAGGAUACUGAAUAGUUGAGGAUUUCCUGAACUGUGAUUUAUGAAAUGAUGAAUCAUGAUUUAUGAAUAGAUUAUUAUCAAAGUUUGAAUUGGAAUUAUUCUGUUGUUGAUGAUAUUUAUGAGGAUGUUCUGUUGAUUUACAUUGGCUUCUUGAAUUGAAUUAGAGAAUUGGAUUAUUGUUUUUAUAUAAACCUGUGGACCAGAUUCGUGGUCAUGUUAGGCCAAUGAGUGCCUUGGAUCCAGUAAUAGAGCAUGGCGGGGCCUGCUCGGGGUUAGUGCGGAACUGAUCAGCUGCCUAACCUUGGUUUUAAUUAAAAUGUGAUAGUCCAAUUCAAUAAUUCUU